UGAACAAAAGGUUUGGUCCUAGCCUUAUUGUUAAUUUUAAUUAGACCUACACAUGCAAGUCUCAACUGCCCUGUGAGAAUGCCCUCAAAACUAUUGAUCAAAAGAUAAGAGGAGCUGGUAUCAGGUACCCUAAUAGUAGCGAAUUACACCUUGCUCAACCACACCUCCAUGGGAAACAGCAGUAAUUAAAAUUAAGGUAUAAACGAAAGUUUGACUAAAUCAUAAUUAUUAAGGGUUGGUAAAUUUCGUGCCAUCCACCCCGGUCAUAGGAUUAACCCAAAUUAACAAACCUCUGGCAUAAAGCAUGUUUAAGCAAAACAUUAAAAUAAAGUUAAUACUUAACUAAAGUCUAAUACACUCUAGUUAAUACUAAAAUAAAUAAUUAAAAUAAUUUUAAUAAAGCUGAUACACGACAACUAAGACACAAACUGGGAUUAGAUACCCCACUAUGCUUAGUCAUAAACCCAAAUAAUUAAACAACAAAAUUAUUCACCAGAGAACUACUAGCUAUUGCUUAAAACUCAAAGGACUUGGCGGUGCCCUAAACCCACCUAGAGGAGCCUGUUCUAUAAUCGAUAAAUCCUGAUAGACCCAACCCUAUCUUGCCAACACAGCCUAUAUACCACCAUCAUCAGCCCACCUUAAAAAAGAUAAACAGUAAGCAAAACUAUUUUUCCAUAAAAACGUUAGGUCAAGGUGUAGCACAUAAAAGGGAAAGAAAUGGGCUACAUUCUCUAAUUUAGAGAAUAACGAAUCACAUUAUGAAAUUAAAGUGCUUGAAGGAGUAUUUAGUAGUAAAUUAAGAAUAGAGUGCUUAGUUGAAUUAGGAAAUAGGCGGGCACACACUACCUGUCACCCUCCUCACCGUCACCCUCCUCAAUUUAAUGAACUUAUAUAAUUAAUAAAUCAUUUAAACAAAGAGGAGAAAAGUCAUAACAUGGUAAGUAUACUGGAAAGUGCACUUGGAAUAUCAAAAUG
rnacentral:ncRNA from 1 species